rnacentral:rRNA from 1 species
GCCAGACUCCUACGGGAGGCAGCAGUGAGGAAUAUUGGUCAAUGGCCGGAAGGCUGAACCAGCCAAGCCGCGUGAAGGACGAAGGUGCCAAGCAUUGUAAACUUCUUUUGUCAAGGGACAAAAUCAGGCUCGAGAGCCUGACCGAGGGUACUUGAAGAAAAAGCAUCGGCUAACUCCGUGCCAGCAGCCGCGGUAAUACGGAGGAUGCGAGCGUUAUCCGGAUUUAUUGGGUUUAAAGGGUGCGUAGACGGUUGCGCAAGUCUGGAGUGAAAGGCGGGGGCCCAACCCCCGGACUGCUCUGGAAACUGUGUAACUGGAGUGCAGGAGAGGUAAGUGGAAUUCCUAGUGUAGCGGUGAAAUGCGUAGAUAUUAGGAGGAACACCAGUGGCGAAGGCGGCUUACUGGACUGUAACUGACGUUGAGGCUCGAAAGCGUGGGGAGCAAACAGGAUUAGAUACCCGAGUA